rnacentral:rRNA from 1 species
CGAACGCGACUCUGGCUUCGGCCAGAGUUGAGUGGCGAACGGGUGAUUAACACGUGGGUGACCUACCUUCGAGUGGGGGAUAACGUCCCGAAAGGGACGCUAAUACCGCAUAACAUCCUGCCUUUGAACAGGUGGAGAUCAAAGCCGGGGAUCGUAAGACCUGGCGCUUGAUGAGGGGCCCGCGUCCGAUUAGCUAGUUGGUGAGGUAAUGGCUCACCAAGGCAACGAUCGGUAGCCGGCUUGAGAGGGCGGACGGCCACACUGGGACUGAGACACGGCCCAGACUCCUACGGGAGGCAGCAGUGGGGAAUUGUUCGCAAUGGGCGCAAGCCUGACGACGCAACGCCGCGUGGAGGAUGAAGGUCUUCGGAUUGUAAACUCCUGUUGCCCGGGACGAAAUGCUCCAACCUAAUACGUUGGAGUUUGACGGUACCGGGUGAGGAAGCCCCGGCUAACUCUGUGCCAGCAGCCGCGGUAAUACAGAGGGGGCAAGCGUUGUUCGGAAUUACUGGGCGUAAAGGGCGCGUAGGCGGCCUGCUAAGUCGAACGUGAAAUCCCUGGGCUCAACCCAGGAACUGCGUCCGAUACUGGUUGGCUUGAAUCCGGGAGAGGGAUGCGGAAUUCCAGGUGUAGCGGUGAAAUGCGCAGAUAUCUGGAGGAACACCGGUGGCGAAGGCGGCAUCCUGGACCGGCAUUGACGCUGAGGCGCGAAAGCCAGGGGAGCAAACGGGAUUAGAUACCCCGGUAGUCCUGGCCCUAAACGAUGAAUGCUUGGUGUGGUGGGUAUCGAUCCCUACCGUGCCGAAGCUAACGCAUUAAGCAUUCC